CGUGGUAAUUCUAGAGCUAAUACAUGCUGGUGUGCCCGACUUUCGUGGAAGGGCGGUAUUUAUUAGAUAACAAGCCAAUAUUCCUCUGGUCUAUUGUGGUGACUCAUAAUAACUGAUCGAAUCGCAAGGCCUAUGGCCGCGAUAAGUCAUUCAAGUUUCUGCCCAUCAGCUUUCGAUGGUAGUGUAUUGGACUACCAUGGCGUUUACGGGUAACGGAGGAUUAGGGUUCGAUUCCGGAGAGGGAGCCUGAGAAACGGCUACCACAUCUAAGGAAGGCAGCAGGCGCGUAAAUUACCCAAUCCUGACUCAGGGAGGUAGUGACAAGAAAUAACGGACCGGGGCCCUCGGGCUUCGGGAUUGCAAUGAGCCGAAUUUACACCCCUUGGCGAGAACCGAUUGGAGGGCAAGUCUGGUGCCAGCAGCCGCGGUAAUUCCAGCUCCAAUAGCGUAUAUUAAAGUUGUUGCAGUUAAAAAGCUCGUAGUUGGAUUUCUGGGAGGGUGCCAAUGUCCGCCGAUGUGCGUGCGCAGCGGCGCCCUUCCAUCCUUCUGUUAACGCCUCUUGGCAUUCAUUUGCUG
rnacentral:rRNA from 1 species